GCGGCCGAAUGAACCUUCGGCUGCCGAACCUGAGUUCAUCCAGAACUCAGCUUCAACGGCAAACCAUCUCCUCCUUCCCUUCAAGCUCUCAAAACAUGCAUACCUCAUCUACUCAACUCACAUAUACUCAAGUAUAUGAUCACAGGGGUCCAAAACUAUCUAAUAACCCCAAACAACAAAUCAACAUAACACAAAAACAUGUAUACAUGCAUAUAUCCGUAAAACUCCCAUCAUGCAUCUCUCUCUUCACACCUCCCAUAAAAACUUCAGAAAACACAUAAAAACAUAGUCAAAAACAUCACUUACCUCCUGGUGAGUGAUCUAAACAAAAGAAAACGGAUCAACUCUUCUUCACCCUCACUAACUCUCCAAAGCUCACUUUUUGCUUCAAAACCUUCAAAACUUGGUAAACGAGCAAACUCCUGCAUGAGCUGCUCAAACUUAGCAAAUAAAGCAUAGGAGACGUGGCCAAGCUUCUGGCAACAAAUUGGACAUAACACCUAUCCACAAUGUUGACUAAGGAUACCCAACAGCUGGCUGGCCAACUCAGUUUCGGCUGCCGAAUCGCAUGCAAAACCAUGCAACAUUCGGGG
rnacentral:lncRNA from 1 species